AUUGAACGCUGGCGGCGUGCUUAACACAUGCAAGUCGAUCGGUAACGCGGGGGCAACCCUGGCGACGAGAGGCGGACGGGUGAGGAACGCGUGGGAAUCUGCCCUUCAGCGGGGGACAACACGGGGAAACUCGUGCUAAUACCGCAUACGCUCCACGGAGGAAAGCCGGGGACCGCAAGGCCUGGCACUGAAGGAUGAGCCCAAGUCGGAUUAGCUAGUUGGCGGGGUAACGGCCCACCAAGGCGACGAUCCGUAGCUGGUCUGAGAGGACGAUCAGCCACACUGGGACUGAGACACGGCCCAGACUCCUACGGGAGGCAGCAGUGGGGAAUAUUGGACAGUGGGGGAAACCCUGAUCCAGCGACGCCGCGUGGGUGAAGAAGGCCUGCGGGUUGUAAAGCCCUUUCGGUAGGGACGAAAGCUCUCGACCUAACACAUCGGGAGGUUGACUUAACCUACAAAAGAAGCACCGGCUAACUCUGUGCCAGCAGCCGCCGUAACAC
rnacentral:rRNA from 1 species